rnacentral:rRNA from 1 species
ACACGUGGGUAACCUGCCUUAUAGUGGGGGAUAGCCUUUCGAAAGGAAGAUUAAUACCGCAUAAGAUUGUAGUAUCGCAUGAUAUAGCAAUUAAAAGGAAGCAAUCCGCUAUAAGAUGGACCCGCGUCGCAUUAGCUAGUUGGUGAGGUAAUGGCUCACCAAGGCGACGAUGCGUAGCCGACCUGAGAGGGUGAUCGGCCACAUUGGGACUGAGACACGGCCCAGACUCCUACGGGAGGCAGCAUG